rnacentral:tRNA from 1 species
GCCCAUGUGGCUCAAUGGUUAGAGUGUUGGCCCUCACACUGAAAGGUCACAGGUUUGAUUCCUGGUCAAGGUCG